UGCCCUUACCAGGAUUCGAACCCGGGAGCAUCGGCUUCAUAGGCAGGGUCACUACCCACUAGGCCAGUCCAGUGUCGAUCAAUAUUCGAAAUGACAUUGAUAUGUCAUAGAUUUCAAUUGUUUGGUUGAGUUAAAUGUAAUGCCUGUGUUACAACAACGCUAUAUGCUACAUUUAAUUACUUUUUAAACUUAAUUUUUUUGACAAUAAAUAUGAAAAAAAAAAUUUUUUUUUGAAAAUUAACUAUGCCAUUUAGUUAUCUAAAACGUACUUAACCAUACCCCGAAGUUAACGGAAUUCAAUAAAAACACGGUGUAUAAAGAUCAUAAACUAAUUUUAAUUGAUGUACAUAUUUUGCCGCCAAAUGGCCAUAUUUAAGCUUAUUUUACCCAUAAUAACUUAAAUCAAUUUAUGAACUUGUUACCAAUACAUAGUAUCCUAUACAAUAUGCACUCAUUGUUAUUGAUGUAGUUGCAGAAUAAUAUUCAAAUUGUUAAUAAUAACUAUGAUUUUAUGAUCCGAACAGCUAAGGCAUGUUUAAAGGUAUUGGAAAUUUAUUUAUUCGUGGUUUACUAAGAUUAAAGUAAAGAUAAUAUAAAUGAAAGUCAUUAAUAUGGUUUUUCUUUCCUAAUGGUUUUGAUAUUGGAUGAGAUUUUGCGAUGGUCAAAAAAAUUUAUACAGUAGUUUAUAAAUAUGUACCCAUUUCUUCUCCUUAUUUCAAUGGAUGGUGAAGAUAUGUAGACAUAUUUAUGAACUCGACUGUUACAUGUAUAUUUUAUGUGAAUAAUAAUUUUAACCCUUUUGAAGUCGGUAUGGUAUAAUUUAUUAUCUUUGUAUGUGUGGAAGAAUUAACAGGUUACAGUGGCUUGAACUGACAGGAUCUGCACUUGUUCACUGACCCUAAAUCAGGCAGAUACCAUCAGGUUUAUGUCAUUACUAGCGACCCGCCCCGGCUUCGGUUCAUAAGCACAGACAGACGAGCCGGGGGUCUUUGUUUUAUAAUGUGUAGGUAGUGUCAAUGUAAAACCGGGAAGAGGGAAAUUAUAAAAGUAUACACAUCAGAAUGCACGUUUAUUUAUUUUCAGAAAAGAAUCACAAUUUUUUAAAAGCGGGUCACGAGUCACACUUCCGUUUCUUUGGCUGUCACCGUUAAAUAGAUAAAACAA